GAGUGGCGGACGGGUGAGUAAUGCUUGGGAAUCUGCCCAGUAGUGGGGGACAACACGAGGAAACUCGUGCUAAUACCGCAUACCUCCUACGGGAGAAAGUGGGGGAUCUUCGGACCUCACGCUAUUGGAUGAGCCCAAGUCGGAUUAGCUUGUUGGUGGGGUAACGGCCUACCAAGGCGACGAUCCGUAGCUGGUCUGAGAGGACGAUCAGCCACACUGGGACUGAGACACGGCCCAGACUCCUACGGGAGGCAGCAGUAGGGAAUAUUGGACAAUGGGGGCAACCCUGAUCCAGCAAUGCCGCGUGUGUGAGGAAGGCCUGCGGGUUGUAAAGCACUUUCAGUAGAGAAGAAAAGCUCUCGGUUAAUAACUGGGGGUCUUGACGUAACCUACAGAAGAAGCACCGGCUAACUCCGUGCCAGCAGCCCCGGUAAUACGGAGGGUGCGAGCGUUAAUCGGAAUUACUGGGCGUAAAGCGCGCGUAGGCGGCUAGGUCAGUCGAAUGUGAAAGCCCUGGGCUUAACCUGGGAAUUGCACUCGAUACUGCCUGGCUAGAGUAUGGGAGAGGGAAGUGGAAUUUCCGGUGUAGCGGUGAAAUGCGUAGAUAUCGGGAGGGAACACCAGUGGCGAAGGCGAC
rnacentral:rRNA from 1 species